AACGCACCUUGCACUCCUUGGUAUUCCGAGGAGUAUGCCUGUUCGAGUGUCAUGAAACUCUCAAACCUCAUCUUCAUUGAUGACGGGCUUGGAUUUGGACGUUGCUGGACUUUACCGUUCGGCUCGUCUUGAAUGCAUUAGCUGACGAUUUCGACUUCAGUUAAACCGUGUGAUAAUACAUCAACGCGGGCAGCCGUCAAGGCGCUGGGUCGUCAUUCGAAGGCUUCUAACCGUCCCUUCGAGGACCGCCUUUACUGGCGUUUCAUUUCACAUCUGGCCUCGAAUCAGGUAGGACUACCCGCUGAACUUAA
rnacentral:misc_RNA from 1 species